UCCGGUUUGGCACCGGCAGUCUCCCUAGAGUUCCCGGCUUUACCCGCUGGCAACUAAGGAAAGGGGUUGCGCUCGUUGCGCCACUUAAGGCAACACCUCACGGCACGAGCUGACGACAGCCAUGCAGCACCUGUGCGGGCUCCCGUAGGAGGACCGUGUUUCCACGGCUUCACCCCGCAUGUCAAGCCCUGGUAAGGUUCUUCGCGUUGCGUCGAAUUAAACCACAUGCUCCACCGCUUGUGCAGGCCCCCGUCAAUUCCUUUGAGUUUUAGCCUUGCGGCCGUACUCCCCAGGCGGGGUGCUUAAUGCGUUAGCUUCGGCACGGAUGGAGUCGACACCUCCCACAGCUAGUAUCCAUAGUUUACGGCGUGGACUAC
rnacentral:misc_RNA from 1 species